UGUGGCUCAGUGGUAGGGUAGAGUGCUUGCCUUGUAUGCAUGAGGCCCUGGGUUCAAUUCCUCAGCA
rnacentral:tRNA from 1 species